ensembl:lncRNA
AAUUAACAAGACUGUCACCGUGGUAACUUUGGUAACUUGAAGUUUGAAGCCAAUCUUUGAGAAUACAAAUUGUAUACUGGGGGAAUUCAUAUAAUGUGCUUUAAAAAUACUGUCAUUUCUUUUUUAACAUUUUCAGCAUGAAGGCAAUCAGAUCUUAGAACAGGUGGUCCACUGAAGUUGUGUGAGUCCGGUGAAGUUAUGAAAUCUCCACCCUAAUGGUUGGACAAGCCUUUAAUCUAACUGCACCUGAUAGAAGGUUUAACUAUAGAUCUCCCUCAGUCCCUGUCAAACCUGAAUUACCUAGUGGUUCUCUGUACUAUAAACAAGACGAUCAGAGGAAAAGAUGAGGAAAGGAGAAAAAAACUGGAAAGCCUAUCUUUGUCAACAUCCAAAGGCAUCUCUGUAGCUGCAGAUAUCUUAGUGUUUCCAUUUUUCUGUCUUUUUAGGGGGAAAGACAAGUCCAUGUUCUCUGUCAGCUCUUGGAAACAGUGUAAGGGGAGACUGGCUGAAUUUGCUGACACAGUGAAGCUUCAGCUAAAUGUUAGCUGAAGUUUCCUUCCUCUGUGUCAACACUUCCAUAGUGGGGAUUUAGAUUGCCUAUCUGGACUAGAUAUCCUCAGGCAAAGAAGCAGGAUGAGAUUCCUGGCUGGAGGCGUUUCCAUCCUUAUCUUUGCGUUCUACAUCAUCAUAGUACUCCACCAGCGGAGUGCUUCUGAGGUAUUUUUGUUGAGUAUUCACAAAACAUCAUUUUUUUUCCAAAUGUUUGAGGGAUGGAAAAAAUUUAACAAUCCUUUGUUUCCUAUAGCAUGCUACAAAAUGUGCGUACUGAUAUAAGGAGAAUCAUAGUAAGCAUCAUGAAUGAAUCUUUGCUUCAAGUCAUUUCUCACUCGAACUUUAUGCUGCAUAGCAUGCACCAAAUACAGCCUUCAGCAUUAUGGUCUUGGUCUAGGAAAAGAUAUUAUGCAGAGAUGUACAUAAUGCCUAUGAACUAUGGCUGAUGACAGAGCUACAAAAGAUAUUAGAGCCUGGUAGGGUUCUAAUAGUUUAAGAAAGCAUUUUCUCCAUUAAUAGUACUGUAAUUAACAGCUGAAAUAAACAAUAUGGGUAAGACCAAUAUUAAUAAACUAUUUCAAAGUUUUCUGUAGUAGUAAAACAAUAAAAAAGAAUAGAUCUGGAAGGUGGAGACCUUGUUUAAAACUCAGAGCAGAUGUCACGGCCAGACAAAACCUCUGCUCUCCCAGGGAAAGCAACUGAUGUGCUGCAAAACUGCCAACUACAACUACAAGAGCUGGGGAAAAAAAAAAAAAAAAAAAAAAAAGACCUGUUUCUGCAGGUUUUAAGGAAUCAUCUUGACCUUUGUGUCUUGAGAACAUCGCUGGUUGUGACUGAUUCACUCUGAGAUAGUCCCCGUGUGUCAGACAGACACAAUGCAGCUGUUCUCCUUCAAGUCUGUGCACCGAAUAAGAGAAAUGCUGAUGAGGACUUUGGGUAAAAUGAGGUAUUGUUGCAGUAAAGUUUGUUUCUGAGUGUGAUACAGCUGGAUUUUGUAACACUCUUCAGUUUUACUCAGUCAGAUUUUCCCCUCCUACUCAUACAAGGAAAUCUCCCUUUGUUCCCAAAGGUUGUUCCUCCCAAAAAGUAUACAGCCAUCUGCACUUUACCCUUGUGUUUCAGUUCUCCACUGGAAAAGCAACUUUGAGCACUGCUCAGAGGGCUUUUUAGGAGCACUUCCAGCAGAGCAUUCUGGGAAAUAGCUCCGAAGGUUCUCUUGUACUCAGUCCUGGCUAAUCUCCAGCUAACCUCUCCAGUGCUGGUGCUUGGCUUGACCAGCAGUGGUUUGACUUAGGAGGCAAGAUGUCCCUGGCAUUGUGAGGCUCGAGGUCUCUCUUCCUUGGUGGUUUCAUGCACAACUUACUUAUGGAUCAUGUCCCAAAGAAGAACAUACAAGGCCACAUAGCGGGAAAGAGGAACACACAGGGAGUACUGGAUGCAUGUAAGCUUGGUGUGACACAUCAGUGAGAACACGAG